AAUGAAACUAAGUAUAUCUGCUCCAGUACUGUCCUUCAGUCCAGAUGUUGAGGUACUUGUACUUUACUUGAGUCUUUUCUUUUCAUGCCACUUUCUACUUCUACUCCGCUACAUUUCAGAGAGAAAUAUUGUACUUUUUACUCCACUACAUUCAUCUGU